UACGUAGGGGGCUAGCGUUGUCCGGAAUCAUUGGGCGUAAAGCGCGCGUAGGCGGCCCGGUAAGUCCGCUGUGAAAGUCAAAGGCUCAACCUUUGAAUGUCAGCGGAUACUGCCGGGCUAGAGUCCGGAAGAGGCGAGUGGAAUUCCUGGUGUAGCGGUGGAAUGCGCAGAUAUCAGGAGGAACACCAACGGCGAAGGCAGCUCGCUGGGACGGUACUGACGCUGAGGUGCGAAAGCGUGGGGAGCGAUCCGG
rnacentral:rRNA from 1 species